GGCUCCAUAGUGUAGUGGUUAACACGUCUGCUUUACACGCAGAAGGUCCUGGGUUUGCGCCCCAGGCGGCCA
rnacentral:tRNA from 1 species